UAAGUCCUUGGGGCACAACAUACCCUCAGCAUGGCCCAGAAGCUGAGCUCCUGUGUGUUCUGUGUAUAUUUUUUGGGGGGUGGGAGAUAGAAUGGUGUGCAUGGACAAAUAAAUGUAGUAGUAGUGCAAAGCUGUGUACUCAGACACUGCCUGUCAGGCCAAGUGACUUGUCAAAUCAAAGCCUUCUUGAGCAUGCAGCUCUCCCUCUUCCUUUCUCAAAGGGAAGAGUUCCUUCUCAAAGAGCUCUUUCCCCAGUCCCUGCAUUUCCAGGAUCACAAAGCAGAAGUGUGUGGUGCUCAUAAGGACAAGAUGGACACAGCCUCGGGGAUUUACCUGAAGAUCACAGAAGACCUAAGGCAGAUCUUGGAAAGAAGACAUCCCAGAGGGAUAUUUCCUGUAGUAACCACCCGCUCACCCAUCCUUUCUGCCAGCUGCAUGACUGCACAGCAAAGAAAACAGGAACAACGUGGAGGAGGAAGGUGGGAGCAGGCAGGAAAAACUUUUUCCUGCUUCAGCUCAUCUUUAUUUUUUAUUGAUAACUAACUGUUCUGGAAAAAUAAUUUUGGAGCAUGCAAAGCUACACAAACCACAGAGGUAACAUGUCCCCAUUCAGGACUGAUGCACUGAUGACAGUUCUUUGGCAAAACAGAGGACCCCACAGAAACCUGCACUGGCAGUUCACAUUUUGUGUUACUACUGUGUCUCAAUUUUCUGCGGUUUACAAGUCCUUCUAAUAACUCUCAGCAGAGUAUCACUAUACUGUGAUACAUUACAAUAUGAAGAUCACAUGUAUAAUUCCAAGAAUUAAAAAGUUCAAUCCACAAGCACUUUGUACUAUUUCCCAAAAAUAUGUGAAUACCAAACAUAUUGCUUCUAUGAAUCUGUGCUGUUAAUGGGUAUCUCUUCAAAGAGAGCAAGAGAGUACUGCCCACGUCCUUCUGGCCACUCUCACUGUGGGUUUUGAUGUGUUUACAUUACUCCAUGCUCACAUAGAAAAGUAUUUUCCAAGACAGCAUGGUUUGCUGUCAGAUAAAGCAUGGUAGCAUAACAAAAACAAAAGAAAAAGGAAAAUAAAUCUAAAGUAGCAUUAGCGCAAAUCACUGAGUGGUGUACACUGUCAGUGAUCGCAUUCUGGUUGAUAUGACUAUGGCCAUACAAAUAUUCUUUUUUCUUAGAGAUACGAGUGAGCUUUGGUGUUCACAUGUAGCUCACAGAAAUGACUCAGAAAAAUGAAGGAAAGAAUGGUAAUCCAAACAGAAAUAAGAGGAGGGAAUUGCAAAUCAUUCCAAGGACAGCAUAUAAAUCAAAUUAAUUUAGGACAUUUGAAUUUUUCUGCAAUUAUAUACCCUGAGUAUACUUAUAAAACUCAGAGUGAAAAAAUGUUGGGCCUGAUUUUUGUCAAAAUAAGAUCAUAUUGAGACAUUUUACUGGGGUAAAAGAUUCUUAAACUGGAAAUGAUUUAUGAUUAUGUCCACCUUCUACAGCUAGAAAGGACCUAUACACUGACAAUUAAAGGUUGCAUUUUUGAGGCAGUCUUCACCAGCUUUGGAUAACUUUGCAGAGAACUCAGUGUGAUUUGCCCUGAGGGAUCUGAAAAGCCUGUCAGGAACAAAUUUGUAGUAAGCUCACAUGUGUAUUGGCAGGCUUGUUGUCAAUAAAAUUAUAAAUGUCAGUUGCUGUUCCAGAACAGGUGGCACUAUAAAAAAAUUGGCUAUGGGAAAUGCAUGCAGCUUACAAGGAAAAUAUCCACUUUUGCAGAUUGGGAAUAAGAAACUUUGCACAGCUGAUUUGUGAACUAGUGGUAUUUUUUAAUGUGUUUUCCUUAAAGCUGCUUUGAGAUGUUCAUGCCUACAGUUUUCCCCAUUACUGUUUGGUUUUGUUUCUUUUAUUCCAUAGUUAAAUGUAUCAAAGCCUAGAAAGUGAGAUCUGAACCAUUUAAGAGUCUCUCCAUGUGCCAUCUUAGAUGCUUGGAUCAGCAAUGGGAACAGUUUUGUAUUGCUGUUACUCCAUUAAUCACAAAGCAGUUGCUCAGAGUUACUCUUGCUUCGGCCUGAAGCAAACAAGGACAGGAUGGGUCUGUGGUCAUACAGUACCUGUGACAAAUGAUUUACUGGUUGGUUUACAUCACAGAUCUCCUCAGGGUUUGUUCUUCCUGUGUUUUAUUUUUCUAAAGCAGAAAUAGACUGAUUACUGAGCUUUAUUCAGCCUCCUCUCCAUCAACAAUGGCUUUUAUUUGGACUGGAGAUAGUGAAAAACAAACUGAAGCCUUGUACUCAAGGUUAUGGAAAGCCUCUCUUCCAGGAUGUCUUCAGAUCUCACCCCACUGGGUAUUUUUAGUGACACUUUGCAAAUAUGGCACUCAUGAAGGUCAAAUAAAUGGUGCAUAUCCAAUGUGCUGCAGCUGAAGUCACCGCAGCCCUUCUAUUGUGUGCUGUAUUGCAAAAUGUACACCAGAGGACUUACAGAUGAAUGAAAUAGAAAUAAACAUAUGGAUACAAUAAAUGAAAAAAUGAUUAACACAUUUUUACCAUUUUGCAUUGCUGUGGAGUAUUUGAAUGAAUUCUGCCUCACUUGACCUUCUCAGAGCAAGGCACAAUUGCCCAGUCAAAAUCAUGCUGCCUUUAUAUCACUGAAAAAUAUUCUUAAUUUGAAAAGUUUACAAGACUCCUUGGAGUACUCAGAUCUGAAAAACUGGCCACAGUCUUCCCUGGCAAAACAGGCAUGUUAUACUAUACCUUCCCAAACUUGAAUCACUCCCUUGGCAUCUGGGGGCCAUCUCUGUGCUGGAGGCACAAAUAAGUACUCAUUCUGACACUGCUAACUGAUUUGUUUGUUUGUUUGCUUUUAAGUAUCCUGACAGUUCAUAGCAUUUCCUUUAUGAAACAGAGAUGCCUUUCAGAGACUGUGCCUGACCAGGAAUCAAGGGAGGUUAAUAAAUAUAUUAGUUUCCCUGUACCACCACUACAUUCCUGUAAGCAUAUUGCUUCAGGACUGGAGGAUAUUACCCUGCACACCUACACAGUGCAACACAAAUCCACUUGUGAUAUAGUUAGUUACAUUUAUAGGAUGAGCAGGAGAACCGCUAGAUAUUUGGAUCUUCAAAUUGUUUACUGCCCUCUCUUCUAGCGAUAAAUAAAUAAAUCAGUUGGUAAUUCAGACUUACAGAAAGCUGUUUGAAGUUGUAAAAGAAAGCUACUCCUUGUGCUUAGCCUGUUUCAGUUAUGCAUGGCUGGCAAGGACUCUUGCUAAUUGAAGCAUUCAUUUAGGUCAUUUGGCACCCUUCCUUCCCUUCCUGCCUCCACAUCCUCUGAGCGUGAAACGACAUCUGGGGUGUGGGUUCCGUGUCACUGGUGCCAGUGCACUCCAACCUGCAAGCAAAAUUUAACCUUUAUUAGGUGCCCCAUUAGAGGUUAGUAACAAUAAAAAAUAGUCCCUGCAGGAGCACUGGGGAAGCAUGCGUAUAAUAGACCGCAAAACACCCACAGUGGGCAAAGCUCAGGAAAUUCCUGACCUUAAAAAUGUCCUGUUCAGUUUCAUGUAAAGAGAGAAAAAAAUUAAUUCUCUCCCAGGCAUAAAAAUCAAGACUAUUAAAUUUAAGAGUAGGUUGAGUUCUUUCCUUGCAUUCAAUUGCUUUUGUUGAGUAGCGAUAUAUUCUGGUUCCUAGGAGCACUCCACUGUUUACUCCGGUUACUAAAGGAAUAAAUUGUUCUAAGGAUGCAGAUGUCCAAGUAGUUAACGUUACAGCCUACAGCUAUUGCCAAGGAAAUAGGAAAACCUGAGUUUCUCUCCUGCAGAACUACUUUGUUAAGCUAUAUUUCUUACUUAUGUCAUCCUUAGUUUUCUCCUUUUACACAACAUCUUUAUGUGAUGUUGAUGGAUGCUGAAGGCUGUAUGCAGAUGUCACGGUUGCUGACAAUGUGUUUGUAUGGCAUAACAGAAGUUUGUAUGGCAAGCAGAAGUUCCUGGCUAAGGGCUUCAGAAGUAACUGCAUCUGUAGGGGGGGCUUCCACUUCUGUUUUCCCAGCUUCAGCACCUUACGGACAACUAGAUUCUAAGUCCAGAUGUAAUUUCUGAAGGUGAAACAUGUCCAGCUGGGCACUCAAAUCAGUAUUUCAGUUGAAAACCACUGAUACCACUGGCAUCUAGACAGAGCCUAGUGGAGGGCCACAAAGAUGAUCAGGGGCCUGGAGCACCUCCUGUAUGAGAAAAGGCUGAGAGACCUGGGGAUUUUCAUCCUGGAGAAGGGUGAAAAGCAAGGCACCGCAUAACUGUUUAUAAAUAUCAAAAGGGCGGGAGUCAAGUUGAUGGGGGUGGACUCAUUUCAGUGGCAAGCAACAAUAGAACAAGGAGCAAUGGACAGAAACUGGAGCACAGGAAGUUCCAUACUAACACCAGGAAGAGCUUCUUUACUGUGACAAUGGCGGUGCACUGGAACAGGAUGCCCAGACAGGGUGUGGAGUCUCCUGCUCUCGAGACAUUCAAGACCAGUCUGGAUGCCUACCUGUGCGACCUGCUGCAGGGAACUGCUUUAGCAGUGGAUUGGACCAGAUGAUCUCCAGAGGUCCCUUCCAAUGCCUACAAUUUUGCAAUUCUGCGAUUCUGUGAUAGUCAAACAAAAAUAUCUGUAAAACUAUACCACAUGAAGAAGUCCCCUGUAUUCCAGUGUUUUCUUUAAUUUUUUUUUUGAUAUUAUACUUCUUUAUUGAUAUACAUUUUAAAGAUGCUAAUAUUUCUGUUCCAUGUAUAUUUUUCAAGUGUAUGAAUACACACUUGUUUAAAUAUGCAAUAUAUUGAAAACAUCAGUAGAUAAUUAAAUGCGUUUCUGAUGACU
ensembl:lncRNA